AUUGAACGCUGGCGGCAGGCCUAACACAUGCAAGUCGAGCGGAUGAAGGGAGCUUGCUCCUGGAUUCAGCGGCGGACGGGUGAGUAAUGCCUAGGAAUCUGCCUGGUAGUGGGGGAUAACGUCCGGAAACGGGCGCUAAUACCGCAUACGUCCUGAGGGAGAAAGUGGGGGAUCUUCGGACCUCACGCUAUCAGAUGAGCCUAGGUCGGAUUAGCUAGUUGGUGGGGUAAAGGCCUACCAAGGCGACGAUCCGUAACUGGUCUGAGAGGAUGAUCAGUCACACUGGAACUGAGACACGGUCCAGACUCCUACGGGAGGCAGCAGUGGGGAAUAUUGGACAAAGGGCGAAAGCCUGAUCCAGCCAUGCCGCGUGUGUGAAGAAGGUCUUCGGAUUGUAAAGCACUUUAAGUUGGGAGGAAGGGCAGUAAGUUAAUACCUCGCUGUUUUGACGUUACCAACAGAAUAAGCACCGGCUAACUUCGUG
rnacentral:rRNA from 1 species